CCGCGACCCCAGGUCAGGCGGGACUACCCGCUGAGUU
rnacentral:rRNA from 1 species